rnacentral:rRNA from 1 species
UUAAAAGAGUGCGUAAUAGCUCACUGGUCGAGAGACUCUGCGCCGAAGAUGUCCGGGGCUAAAGUGUAAAACCGAAGUCGUGUCAUAUGCAGCAAUGUAUAUGGGUAGGGGAGCGUUCUCAUCGGGCUGAAGCAGUACCGUAAGGAGUUGUGGACUGAUGAGAAGUGAGAAUGUCGGUAUGAGUAGCGAAAAGAAUGGUGAGAAUCCAUUCCACCGAAAGCCUAAGGGUUCCUGAGCAACGAUCGUCGUCUCAGGGUAAGUCGGGACCUAAGCCGAGGCGGAAAAGCGUAGGCGAUGGACAACAGGUUGAAAUUCCUGUACCGGUGUGAAUCGUUUGAUCGAUGGAGUGACACAGUAAGGUAGGUCAGCACGCGAUUGGAAGUGCGUGUUUAAGCAUGUAGGUUGAGCUAUAGGCAAAUCCGUAGCUCUAAAAGCUGAGAUGUGAUGACGAGUUACUAGCGAUAGUAACGAAGUGAUUGAUCCUACACUGUCGAGAAAAGCUUCUAGGUAGAGACACAUCGCCCGUACCAAAACCGACACAGGUAGGCGGGGAGAGAAUCCUAAGGUGCGCGGGAAAACCCUCGUUAAGGAACUCGGCAAAAUGCCUCCGUAACUUCGGGAAAAGGAGGACUCAUGUAGUGUGAAGAGCAGCAACGCUUGGAGCAUGAAUGAGUGGCACAAGAGAGGCGCAAGCGACUGUUUACCACAAACACAGGUGCCUGCUAAAGCGAAAGCUGACGUAUAGGUGCUGACACCUGCCCGGUGCUGGAANNNNNNNNNNCGGGUAAGUUCCGACCCGCACGAAAGGUGUAACGACUUGCGCACUGUCUCAACGAGGGACCCGGUGAAAUUGAAGUACCUGUGAAGAUGCAGGUUACCCGCGACUGGACAGAAAGACCCCAUGGAGCUUUACUGCAACCUAAGAUUGAACUUAGUUAAUGAAUGUACAGGAUAGGUGGGAGACGUAGAAUCUAGGACGCCAGUUUUAGAGGAGUCACUGUUGGGAUACCACCCUUUCAUUAAUUGAUUUCUAACGGGCCGAGUAACGACCGGCCGGACAGUCUUAGGCGGGCAGUUUGACUGGGGCGGUCGCCUCCUAA